rnacentral:rRNA from 1 species
AGCGAACGCUGGCGGCAGGCCUAACACAUGCAAGUCGAACGAACCUUUCGGGGUUAGUGGCGGACGGGUGAGUAACACGUGGGAACGUGCCUUUAGGUUCGGAAUAACUCAGGGAAACUUGUGCUAAUACCGAUUGGGCCCUUCGGGGGAAAGAUUUAUCGCCUUUAGAGCGGCCCGCGUCUGAUUAGCUAGUUGGUUGAGGUAAUGGCUCACCAAGGCGACGAUCAGUAGCUGGUCUGAGAGGAUGAUCAGCCACAUUGGGACUGAGACACGGCCCAAACUCCUACGGGAAGCAGCAGUGGGGAAUCUUGCGCAAUGGGCGAAAGCCUGACGCAGCCAUGCCGCGUGAAUGAUGAAGGUCUUAGGAUUGUAAAAUUCUUUCACCGGGGACGAUAAUGACGGUACCCGGAGAAGAAGCCCCGGCUAACUUCGUG